rnacentral:tRNA from 6 species
CGGGAAAUGGCUCAACUUGGUAGAGCACUUGGUUUGGGACCAAGGGGUUGCAGGUUCAAAUCCUGUUUUCCCGACCA